rnacentral:tRNA from 1 species
UGGCUCAGAGGUUAAAGCGUCUGCUUGCAACGCGGAAGACCUGGGUUCGAUCCCUG